AGAGAAACGGCGACAAAAGCGUUUGGUAACUACGUUUUGCUUCACCUAUUUCAAGGAAUAGAAAUUUAGAUUUAUUUUGAUUUCUGGUUCAAUAAACAGUUUUGACGAGACGACUCACACGUUUUGCCGUCUUCAGAAACAAUUUUCACUCAAAAAAAAAACCCACCCCCAAUAAAAAUCACUCUUCCUAUUUCGAAAAAGGAAAGCACAGAAGAGGCAAUAGCAAGCCUGUACACCUCCUCCCACCUUCGACUACAUCCACAUAGCAACGAUUCCCUCUGUAUUUACCAAAUUCGUUGUGCGAUUGCGCUCUCAUGAAGGCAAAGGAGUUGUCUUCUCAAGUUGCAGAGAUUCGUCGUACAUUCGCGCUCCCAUGAAGAUGUACCGCUGCAAGAGAAACGGCAAAAAAGAGCUUUAAAUCCUCCAAUUGUUCAACCUAACUUCGUUGUGCGACUGGAUUUUCUUGGGAAGCAUUUCAGCUGUUGGGUGCCCUAGUUUUUGGAAUCAAUUUUGCCGGUCUCUUUUACCUUUGAUUGUUCAACCUAACUUCUUUGUGCGACUGGAUUGAGUGGGAAGCAUUUCAGUCGUUGGAUGCCCUAGGUUUCUCAAGGUAUGUUAAAUCCUAUGGUACUAGAGUGAUCUGCUACCACUGGUUUUUGGAGAUCUUUAGGCCUUUGUUUGUUUUAAAGAUUCAAGAAUGGAUCUGUCUUCAUAAACUCUGUGCCAACUUCUAUCAUGAUCUGUAGGAUGUUUGCAUUUCUUGUUGGCUAGGUUGCAGUAGAACUUACUCUCUAAAACUUUUUGAUUAAUUUCAUGGGUUAUUAUAACCAUGUACUAAAGCCUAAUUAACUGGUCGAGUUAUACUAAAAAAAUCCCAAAUCUCUCAAUAAGAAGGGCAAGCAGGAAGGCAGGCAAGCAGGCAUGCAGGCAUAUUACCCCUUUUGCUGGGUCCAUUGACAUGCCCGAGCCCAAGGUCAGGAAACUGGGCUUCAGAUCAACUGAAAAUCAUUCUUCUAACCAUUUUUUAUGAGAACAUAUCGUAAAAAAUUGAGAGUAUAUAGUUAAUAUUCAGUUGAUAUGUAGGAAGAAAAUUUAGAGAUUUGAUGUUUAUAUUAAAUAUAUGGGUAUGAAGGAUUUCAGAGUUUAGAUUGUUAUAUUCAGUCAAUUAUUGGUUAUAAUCUUUACACAGAGGAAGUUGGAUGAAAGAGAAAAUAAUACUAGUAGUCUAGUAAUAAGGAUGAUGCUUUGUCAUGUAGAAUUUUGAAGAAAGAACACAUCAAAAUUGUUAGCUUAAAUUGUUCUUUUCCACUACUUGCUUCUUGUCAAAUGGCAUUAACAGAAAAGUAGGCUGAAACACACUUUACUCAAAGAUGCUAGUUUUAUUGAUGCACCUGGUUGGGCCGAGACACCACAGGUUGCUAAUGAUUACUGAUUACUAUAGAAAGAGGGUUAAAUUUUUCUGCUAUUUCAAUUGCCUAUAGGUCUGGUUUGGAAAUAAUUUUUGAGGUGUUAAUCUAACAGAGUUCAUACUAUGUCCUUGUUAUAAUUAACUCUCUCUAUCCUUUACUUGGACAAUUCUGUCAAAUCCCUUUUUCACGCUUUUGUUGUUGUGUUGCUCACUCACUUCCAUAUUUCAUAAUGAUGUACAUGUUGUGGUGAGUGUUAGAGUGUUUGUUCUCAUUGUUACUAAUAAUUUCAAGGGAAGCCAUAUCCAAUUUUUGGAAGCCCCAUUUUUCUCUAUAAAUGGUGAUUGGUCAUUUCUUAUUUUUGUUUUUAACCUUCCCUCCACCCACACCAUUAUCAUUCUUUUUUAUGCUUAGUGAAAACUGUCUGCCACAAUUACAUCCAGGGUUUCAUUCAUAAUUUUCAGGUUUGAAAUAUUUUUGUGGAAACUAUGUUUUAUUUGUUGCCAAUAUCUAUUCUUCUCUAGUGAUUAAAUGUUAAUACAAUGUGAGGUACUCCAUUUUUAUGCCCAAGAUUCAUAAGAUGUGAAGCCUUUACUAUCAUAUUUAUGAAUUGGUGCCAUAUGUCAGUGUUUCAAACCUUCUAUGAGUUUGAUCCUGUAAAUUCUACUUAUUAUCUUAAAUUCUCUAUCUCUCAGUACCUCAAAGUAAUCUUUGACAUCAAUGCUUUGCUUCAAAAAAAAAAGUAAGUUGGCUUUUAACCUAUCAAAAUUGAAAGGGUAUGAUCACACAGAACGUUAUGUGUGCAUGUUCAUUUGACAUGUGAUUCACGUUUGUGUAUACGGGAUGGGAAGGUAGUGCACAUGACACCAGGUUUUUAAAGAAACAAGAACAAAUAAUACCCUGGGGUUCCCUCAUUUGCCACCAGGCAAGUAUAAUGCGGUUGACUCGGGCUAUGCAAAUCAACUGGGGUAUUUGGUGUCAUUUCGGGGAGAAAGGAAGCACUUACAGGAUUAUGGUGAGGGUAGACCUGGGCCUAGAACAGUAAAUGAAUUGUUCAAUCACAGACACUCGUCACUGUGGAAUAUUAUUAAAAGAACAUUCGAUAUUUUAAGGAGUAUGAAGCCAUAUGAUAUAGAAGAUCAAACAAGAAUCAUAAUCGCUUAUUGUGGGCUCCACAAUUACAUCAAGGAACAGGCAAUUCAAGAUCAAUUAUUUAAUGAGUUUGGAAGUGAACAACUUAUUGAGGACCCUAUGAAUCCCGAUCCUAUGGUGUACCGUGCUUCAACUUUCGAUACGACCCAGAGACACUCAACGAGAGAAAUGUCAGUACGCCUAAAUAUAGCUAAUCAAUUGGCUAGAUCAAGGAGAAUGGCUACGAUUCCGUUAGGUGGAUCGUAAAUUUUAUCGAUGAUAGUGGAUGUGUUAUACAUUUGUCAAAGUUUUGAGUAAUGUAACAUGCAGGUUAAUGUACUUAACUUACUUGAUAAUGUUGUUGUUUCCAUAGUAUUAUUUAUA